AUUGAACGCUGGCGGCAGGCCUAACACAUGCAAGUCGAACGAGUGGCGGACGGGUGAGUAAUGUCUGGGAAACUGCCUGAUGGAGGGGGAUAACUACUGGAAACGGGCGCUAAUACCGCAUACUAUCAGAUGAGCCUAGGUCGGAUUAGCUAGUUGGUGGGGUAAAGGCCUACCAAGGCAACGAUCCGUAACUGGUCUGAGAGGAUGAUCAGUCAAAAGGGAACUGGGACACGGUCCAGACUCCUACGGGAGGCAGCAGUGGGGAAUAUUGCACAAUGGGCGCAAGCCUGAUGCAGCCAUGCCGCGUGUAUGAAGAAGGCUUUCGGGUUGUAAAGUACUUUCAGCGGGGAGGCGUUACCCGCAGAAGAAGCACAGGCUAACUCCGUGCCAGCAGCCGCGGUAUAC
rnacentral:rRNA from 1 species